CAAAGCGUGUAGAUGAGACGUGUUGCCAUCUACACCCUCUGGGAACAGCCUGGGCUCAUCCAUGACGGUCAGUAGCUCAUCACGGCAGAUAAGUACUGUAGCAGACCGUGAAAUCUGUUCGCCAGGAUGCGCUGCCACAGUGAUUGAUUGGACCUGAGUGUGUGGAAAACCCAUCGACAGGAACAGAUGAGCAGAUCUGCUGCUGCCUGAACUCCCUGUGGGAGUAAACAUCUGCCCAGCAAUUAGCUGUCCUCCACACCCCCGUCCGCAGAGCUGCUUCCUGUGUGGAGGGCGAGGGGGGCUGCCAGUGUUUAUGCCCUGCCGAGGCUGCGGUGUAUUUGUUUGCUCCAGGAUCCCGCCGAGCAUUCGCUCACUCCUCGAACAAUAAACAUUGGUGAUUGCUGACGAAGGCCCUGGUCCCGGCUUCUCCGAACUCCGGUGAUUUAGAGGUGCCCGGCGGUCUACCAAUGUAUCCCUGCCCAUGGCACAGAGACUAUCUUCCAGCGGUUGAACUCUUGUGUGCAGUGCGCAGCAACCUUAGGAUGUGACUGAUGGCACUCGCCACAGAAUGAGGCAAGGUUAAAAAUACGGAAAUGUGGACGGUUCCUCGGCAAGCAGCCCGUCUGCCAGCUGCUCUCUCAGCCCAUCAGCGUCUCCAAACCUCAGCCCCAGACCCUGCCACGAACUCCAGCAUCAACCCAAAGACACUCCCCGACCGGCCAGUGUUAUUAACAACAACGUUUCCAUCCAGCUCACCAUCAAAAAUGACUGAAAGCAGAAAAAUACAGGGGUACAUUACAGCAGCCUGUGAUUAAGGGAUCUAAAAUACGAUUAUGCAGAAUAAGCCAUUAAUAUGUGCUUUAUAAAUACUAAUAAACAGCCAAUAUAUGAUAGUACUAUGCAUGCUGAUAAACAACUGGCUAAUAGUGAGAACAGUUUCCUAAACUAAAGUGUUUUUCAAUCAAUCAAUCAAUAUGUGUGCAUUUGCUAGCAAGCAGGAAUUGGAAGCACGGGGGUUUGUCUCAUUUUCCAGUUACAAUAUCAGAAAGAAAAAAAGGUCUUGAAACAAGAUAAAUUUACUUGUGAAGCAACACCAUUUAAAACAUUAAGACUUUUCCUGUAUUUAUAAGAUCUUUUCCACUUAUUUAAAGUAUAAACUAGUUAAAAACAAGUGGAACAAUUCAGCAACAAAGCAACAUUUAAAAAAUAUGUUUUGAACAGCAAGCUAAUUAAAAACUUCUUGAAGUCAAGAAAUCAUUUGUUUUGCAGUGAACCUGAUCGUGUUUAUAUUGAAGCGGUUAUUUUUAGCUUCCUGUGAAUCUCUCAGCAUGACUAAAUGCAAGGUCAUAGAAAGAACUGGGCAACCGAACCCCUAGACAGCAAAAAGCCGCACUUUGGCCAUAGUCAGAAAGUACCAAAACAGACCGGUUUUGGCCGAACUGUGACUCGCCUGUGCAGAAUUCACAGCACGACCGCAGACCUAGGUAUUCGCUAACCCUUUGUUCUUUAAGGUCCUCGUUUCAUUUGUUGGUGCACCACAGAGGGUUGUGAAUAUGCAAUGAUGCUAAACCACGCAAGCAUGUAAUUUUCAGAAAAUCUGCAACCCUUGUGAACUUUGCAAGUAAUGACAGGCUCUCAGAUACUGAAAAUACUGGAUGCAUUUCCCAUUUAAUUGACAAUCCUGACAGAAGUGGCAACCGUUUACCACAUGACCUCACCAUUACUGCAUUUCCAGCUGUGUGGCCGUCCACAAUGCGCAUUGUGAUCUCACUGAUCACGAUAUGAUGUGCACGUAUGUUCAUCUUCGUGCAGACUGGUUUACUGCAAAUCAUAGCGUCUUGCACCAUUCUGUGCUUUCUGUCGGAAUUGUGUUUGCCGGAUUGCACCUUGUGGCGAUCUGGGUGUGGCGAUGCUUUGCCCGGCAAAACCGUAUUUUGCUUUCCUCGGUAUCCAUCACUGCCACUGUGGCAUAAAGUUGCGCUAACACUUCCUAAAUGCUGAGAGGACUAAACCAGGCACGUUUAAAUGGCUCGCUUCUCUUCAGAACUUCCAGAUUCAGAGUAGAAAACAACUAAGAGACACCACAAACCUUGGAAUUUGGAUGUCAUGUCGAAAGGAAAGUGGCAGUAGCUUCCAAAACCAGCUUCCUCUAUAAAGAAACUAAGUUUAGGAGAACCUGACAGUCUAGCAGUGAGCGUGAAAUGAAAAAAUACAAAUUCGUUCGCAAAAAAGAGCAGCAUGAAGCUGUGAGUCUGCGAGUGCUAAUCAUUUACAGCUGAUAAAGUCUUUGAUCAGUUUCAUGCAAUGCCACCAGCAUCUUUCUCUGGGCGCCACUGCUAACAUGUGUUAUGCACAUUGUGCCUGAUUAAACAUUGUGGCAUCUUUAAUACUCCGAUUCUGAUUAUGAAUGUGAAUCUGACUGCGUUUUGGCUGUGCUGCAUGUCAACAUGACAGACACGGUUGUGUUGUGAUCAAAGCAGCAGCUGGUGCCAGAGCAUCU